CCCACAAGCCAUUGUGCACACUGGAAAUCUC
rnacentral:piRNA from 1 species